GACGAACGCUGGCGGCGUGCUUAACACAUGCAAGUCGAACGAUGAAACCUAGCUUGCUAGGUCGAUUAGUGGCGAACGGGUGAGUAACACGUGACUAACCUGCCCCUUUCUCUGGGAUAACGCUCCGAAAGGAGUGCUAAUACCGGAUACUCACACCUAGGCACAUGCCUAGGUGUGGAAAGUUUUUCGGAAAGGGAUGGAGUCGCGGCCUAUCAGCUUGUUGGUGAGGUAACGGCUAACCAAGGCGACGACGGGUAGCCGGCCUGAGAGGGCGACCGGCCACACUGGGACUGAGACACGGCCCAGGCUCCUACGGGAGGCAGCAGUGGGGAAUAUUGCACAAUGGGCGCAAGCCUGAUGCAGCGACGCCGCGUGAGGGAUGAAGGUCUUCGGAUUGUAAACCUCUUUCAGUAGGGACGAAGCGGAAGUGACGGUACCUAAAGAAGAAGCACCGGCUAACUACGUGCCAGCAGCCGCCGUAA
rnacentral:rRNA from 1 species